AACGCAUAUUGCACUCUCUGGCUCUCCAGAGAGUAUGCCUGUUUGAGUAUCAGUUUAAAUCUCUCACCCUCGAUUGGGGGUGAGGAAUUGAGCAAUCCGCUGGCGCUGAAUUGUUAACGCGAUUUGGUGAUUUAACGCGGUUGCUUGAAAUGUAUAGCUAAGCGGUAUUGACCACUGCUUAAGAUGACUAGGCGUAUUAGUUUCCCAUUUGGGAAUCCACUCGUGCGCCGGUGUAUUGGUCUCUAAAGCCUUUGUGUUGGUUGAUCGCUAUGCUUUCUAAAUGUUCUUCGGAUCAUUUACUUAGUUUGGCUUGCGGUUAGCAUACCGAACUUGAUCUUGAUCUCAAAUCAGGCAAGACUACCCGCUGAAUUUAA
rnacentral:misc_RNA from 1 species